AUGUCAGCCUUACUUGAUCCCUUCUGUCUCACAGGCUAAUCAUGGUCCCAGCUAGCUGCCUUUGUCCGAUAUGCUGAACAACUUUUAAGAAAAACUUACUCUAUUUCAGGCUGACAACCAGGAAUGGAAUCCGAUGCAAAGCAACUUGAUGGUAUCAGUGAGAUUUGAAAGAUACAUCUAAGACUUUAAUAAGAAGAUUCAGGUCUUAAAAGUGAGGAAAUCAUGGUGGACACUGUCUUGGCACCAUGGACAAUAAUCCUGGUGAUCUUUGCUUCAGUGCUGAUAAUGAGCUUUCUGAUGUUUCUCCCCCCUGUUGCCGUGGUGAUCUGGAAAAUGAAGCAUAUGCCCCAGAUCUCUUUGCAUGGAACUGUAUAACCAGGCCUAAUGGACAAAGAAUCCUGCAACUAAACAAGCUACAAACUUACUCACAACUAGCAACUAUUUAAUAGGAUCCAUCACAAAAAAAUGAGCUUUUCCCAGGCCUAUGGCUGCUGAGGUCCUGCACGACACUGUAUAUAUAACUUUAUAUUAACUUGCUAUAGUUCCUACCACUCUUCCUACAUCUAAUUGACUGCACUGUACUUCAUAUCACUUGUUUCUUGGAUUGUGCUUCUAUUUAUGACCAUAACUGACCAACGUAUGACAAAAAGAAAAACAAGUAGCACAUGCCUUUGUAGUUAUGACCACUUGUAAACAGCACCAAAAAGACACAAAGUAACUAUAUUAGUCUGAAAAGAAUGGUAAGCCCUGAGAGCUAUAUAUAUAUGAUAGAAGCUGAAUAUAUUUUCCCUCAAAGGGAACAGUACAAUGAAUGGCAUAGUCAUUGCUAUUAAUUAACCACAGUCUUGUGUCUGUUUGGUUUGAAAACUUGUUCUUCUGUUUUGACCAUUUCUUGUUGUUGUUGGGUUUUUGGUUGGUUGGGUUUUUAUUUAAUUUUUUCCCCAAAAUUCUAAGUGUCACAACACAAAGCUAUCCCCAUCCCUUGGCUAGAAUUCUUAUGUUCUUUAUAACCCAGUGCUCAAAGCUCAACGGUGCAAAUGUAAAACACAAACUGUGGCAAGUUAAAGCACACAUGCUGCAGGAAUUUCCCCUGAAUUGUAGUGACCGAAUUUACUAUGGAAAACAGAAUGUGAUUAUUUAGGUUUAAAUAUGUCCUGUAGUUUGUGUUCCUUAGUGUGCCUUAGCACUUCUCAAACUGAAUAUUUUGGAAAGGAGGGACUAGGACAAUUAAAAGCUUAUUAGCACUCCUAUCAGGAAAGCAACCUCCAGCAUUUUAUGUCGAACAUACCCAAUGUCAUAAAAGACUGUGGGCCUGAUUCUGCCCUUCUCAUGCUGCGUUUAAUAGGAUGAUUUGUGUUAUAUGUGGUUAAUGCUUUCCACUACCAUGCAGGUUUGCUCUGAGCCACAUUCUGAUCUGUGUAAAUCUGACAUAAACAUGUGCCACUGAUCAGA